GUGAAGCCAAUAGAAUGCUACUUAGGUUACCAAAAAUGGAAAUCUACCUGGUAUGCAGUGGCUGCAAACAGCAGCCUCCUUGGUAGUGUACGCAGCCUGUUGAUUGUAUAGGUUGCUCUAAGGGACCUUGGAGACAUUC